rnacentral:rRNA from 1 species
CAGUAGCCACGGUAAUACGAAGGGUGCAAGCGUUAAUCGGAAUUACUGGGCGUAAAGCGUGCGCAGGCGGUUUGUUAAGACAGAUGUGAAAUCCCCGGGCUCAACCUGGGAACUGCAUUUGUGACUGGCAAGCUAGAGUGUGGCAGAGGGGGGUGGAAUUCCGCGUGUAGCAGUGAAAUGCGUAGAUAUGCGGAGGAACACUGAUGGCGAAGGCAGCCCCCUGGGCCAACACUGACGCUCAUGCACGAAAGCGUGGGGAGCAAACAGGAUUAGAUACCCCUGUAGUCCCUGUCUCUUAUAC